UACGUAGGGGGCUAGCGUUGUCCGGAAUCAUUGGGCGUAAAGAGCGUGUAGGCGGCCCGGUAAGUCCGCUGUAAAAGUCAAAGGCUCAACCUUUGAAUGUCAGUGGAUACUGCCGGGCUAGAGUCCGGAAGAGGCGAGUGGAACUCCUGGUGUAGCGGUGGAAUGCGCAGAUAUCAGGAAGAACACCAACGGCGAAGGCAGCUCGCUGGGACGGUACUGACGCUGAGGCGCGAAAGCGUGGGAGCAAACAGG
rnacentral:rRNA from 1 species